UACGUAGGGUGCGAGCGUUGUCCGGAAUUAUUGGGCGUAAAGGGCUCGUAGGCGGUUUGUCGCGUCGGGAGUGAAAACCCAGGGCUUAACCCUGGGCUGGCUUCCGAUACGGGCAGACUAGAGGUAUGCAGGGGAGAACGGAAUUCCUGGUGUAGCGGUGAAAUGCGCAGAUAUCAGGAGGAACACCGGUGGCGAAGGCGGUUCUCUGGGCAUUACCUGACGCUGAGGCGCGAAAGCGUGGGUAGCAAGCGGG
rnacentral:rRNA from 1 species